rnacentral:rRNA from 1 species
ACGAAGGGUGCUAGCGUUGUUCGGAAUCACUGGGCGUAAAGAGCGCGUAGGCGGUUUGUCAAGUUGGGAGUGAAAUCCCGAGGCUCAACCUCGGAAUUGCUUUCAAAACUGGCUUACUAGAGUUAGGUAGAGGAUAGCGGAAUUCCCAGUGUAGAGGUGAAAUUCGUAGAUAUUGGGAGGAACAUCAGAAGCGAAGGCGGCUAUCUGGACCUUGACUGACGCUGAGGCGCGAAAGUGUGGGGAGCAAACAGG